UGGGGAAUAUUGCACAAUGGGCGCAAGCCUGAUGCAGCCAUGCCGCGUGUGUGAAGAAGGCCUUCGGGUUGUAAAGCACUUUCAGCGAGGAGGAAGGUGGUGAACUUAAUACGUUCAUCAAUUGACGUUACUCGCAGAAGAAGCACCGGCUAACUCCGUGCCAGCAGCCGCGGUAAUACGGAGAGUGCAAGCGUUAAUCGGAAUUACUGGGCGUAAAGCGCACGCAGGCGGUUUGUUAAGUCAGAUGUGAAAUCCCCGGGCUCAACCUGGGAACUGCAUUUGAAACUGGCAAGCUAGAGUCUCGUAGAGGGGGGUAGAAUUCCAGGUGUAGCGGUGAAAUGCGUAGAGAUCUGGAGGAAUACCGGUGGCGAAGGCGGCCCCCCUGGACGAAGACUGACGCUCAGGUGCGAAAGCGUGGGGAGCAAACAGGAUUAGAUACCCUGGUAGUCCACGCUGUAAAACGAUGUCGAUUUUGGAGGUUGUGCCCCUUGAGGCGUGGCUUCCGGAGCUAACGCGUUAAAUCGACCGCCUGGGGAGUACGGCCGCAAGGUUAAAACUUAAAUGAAUUG
rnacentral:rRNA from 1 species